rnacentral:rRNA from 1 species
UGGAAAAGGAUGUGGGAUUUCGAAGACAGCUAGGAUGUUGGCUUAGAAGCAGCCACACAUUCAAAGAGUGCGUAAUAGCUCACUAGUCGAGAGGUCCUGCGCCGAAAAUUAACGGGGCUAAAACAUGACACCGAAGCUUAGGGAUGUAGUAAUACAUCGGUAGAGGAGCAUUGAAAACGAGAUGAAGCGGUACCGAAAGGAGCCGUGGAUUGUUUUGAAGAGAGAAUGCCGGAAUGAGUAGCGAGAUGGAGGUGAGAAUCCUCCAGGCCGAAUAUCUAAGGUUUCCAGGGUAAAGCUGAUCUGCCCUGGGUAAGUCGGGGCCUAAGGCGAGGCUGAGAAGCGUAGUCGAUGGACAACUGGUGUAGAUUCCAGUACCUUACUAAAUCAGAAAUGUGGGGACACAUGGAGAAAGAGAGAGCCGGGAAUGAGAAGACCGGUGCAAGGGAGGUAGGAGUGUAGUAGGAAAAACCGCUACACAAUCUGAAGACCUGAUGCGGAUCGAAAAGAAGUAGAGAAGCUCUUGGACUCUGUGGCGAGAAAAGCCGCUAUUGUGUUUAGUAAGCCCGUACCGCAAACCGACACAGGUAGAUGAGGAGAGAAUCCUAAGGCCGGCGGGAGAAGCAUUGUUAAGGAACUCGGCAAAAUGACCCCGUAACUUCGGGAGAAGGGGUGCCACUGGAAACAGUGGUCGCAGAAAAAAGGCUCAAGCAACUGUUUAGCAAAAACACAGGUCUAUGCGAAACCGUAAGGUGAGGUAUAUGGGCUGACGCCUGCCCGGUGCUGGAAGGUUAAGAGGAGAGGUUAGCGCAAGCGAAGCUUUGAAUUGAAGCCCCAGUAAACGGCGGCCGUAACUAUAACGGUCCUAAGGUAGCGAAAUUCCUUGUCGGGUAAGUUCCGACCCGCACGAAAGGCGUAAUGAUUUGAGCGCUGUCUCAACAAUGCACCCGGUGAAAUUGAAGUACCAGUGAAGAUGCUGGUUACCCGCGCCAGGACGGAAAGACCCCAUGGAGCUUUACUCCAGCUUGAUACUGGGAUUCGGUAAUGUAUGCACAGGAUAGGUGGGAGACGAAGAAGAUAGUACUUCGGUAUUAUCAGAGUCGCUGUUGGGAUACCACCCUUAUGUUAUUGGAUUUCUAACCUUAGGCCGUAAGCCGGUCAAGGGACAAUGUCAGGUGGGGAGUUUGACUGGGGCGGUCGCCUCCGAAAGUGUAUCGGAGGCGCUCAAAGGUUCCCUCAGGAUGGUUGGAAACCAUCCAAAGAGUG